GAUGCGUUGGCCGAGUGGUCUAAGGCGCUAGACUUGAAUCCACUUUUCAAUAUCUAGUCUCUUCGGAGGCGUAUGUUCGAACCAUGCACGCAUCG